GCUGAGGUGUCUCUGCACAGUUCUGAGAAAGAACCUGCCACAGCAGCCUCUCUAGCGGCUGUAUAAUCCAGCUGACACCCAGAGACGAGACGAUGAAAUUUCUCUUGUAUGUCACACUCUGCCUCUGCUUUGACCACCUCUUCAGCCAGUCCGUGACCCAGAGCCCGACAGCUGUGACGAAAAGUGAAUGCCAGUCUCUGACCAUCACAUGCACUUUUCGUACUGGUUCGACGGGAUAUUAUGAGUUUGUAACCGGACAGUUCUUCAAACAAACACCGCUAAAAACGGGAUGGACACGGAUCUCCACAGGAACGAGAUUUAUAAUUGCGCAAAAUAACGCCGAAAUGAUAUUUACACUGAAAAUUAUGAAUCUUGAAGUUGACGACAGUGCCACCUAUUUUUGUAAAGCUGAAUAUAAAUGGAACACACAGUGUUUGGAAAGGGAUCACCACCGUACUCAAACAGGAGAUGGAAAUUAUCCCAUCCACAUCUGA